rnacentral:lncRNA from 1 species
UUCCAUGUCCUCUUUUUAAGUUUCUCCUCAUAAUUGUCCCUAGUGAAUUUUGAACCUUGUUCAAAAGUGCCACAUUCAAAAUGUCCUCGAUGCAGUCUUGUCCUUGAACUUUACCUCGACUUUGUUUGCAUCUCUCAUUUCUUUGAGUUUUUUCAUUCUCCUUUAGUUGCAUCUUGAAUAUAUUUUCGUUGGUUCCUUUAUUCUUCUUCUUAUACACCCCUCUCCUUGCUACAUACAUUUAUUACCAUGUCUUACCAAUC